rnacentral:lncRNA from 1 species
GGUACAUAUGUCAUAACUGACUUAACCACUAUCCUUUGGUUGAAUUGUUUUCUUUUCUUUGCUUUUCUCCCCCAAUAUUAUAUGCCCCAGCCUCGAAGGGAGAUGACAUAACCUGGGCUACUACAACAUGGAAUUCUGGGAGUGAGACCCUGUGAAGCCAAAUUAAAGGUUGCUAAGGAAACAUGGCAACAGCACUCACGUGAUCUCCCUGCUCUAGAGAGAAUCUGGCCCAGCACAGUCACUAAGUCAGGAGGAGGGAAGCAAACUUGAGAUAGAUCCCAGGCAGUAAUUCGUGUUCAAAGGGAAAUAAAACUCUAAGGAAAAGGACUGAGGUCAUGGCAUUAGAAGAAGAAACGGAGGAGUCAUUUGAAAGAUAUCCAGAUCUUUCAGAAAUGGUGAGAAGGAACAAGAAAAUACUUCAGAAUAUUUUGCUGAGAAAUUUGCCUCACAAUUUGGGAGUAACGUCCAAGACCUAAGGAGAUAAGAAGUAUCUCAGGCCAAAAAAAAAAAAAAAGGCAAAUAAGCAAAUACCAUCUUCCUUUCCUCAACCUGGCCAGGAUAGAUUGACUAAGAUGUUGCCCGACAGGAUUGCCAAGCUUCGUGUUUCUCUCCGGGCACUUUUGCACAUGGUCUUAACACAGGAUAGGAACAUUUCAGAACUUGAUUCAUCAAUGCAUCUACUAUGUAUGUGCCAACCGCUCCACUGGGUGCCAGAAAUACAAGGAAGAGAAUCAUAGCCUGUUCUCAAGGAAAUAAUAUCUCCAGCAUCAUCAUUAUCAUUAUAAUAGCAAGUUCUUGUCAUUAUUAAACAUAUUUCUAUGUGAAUGUAAUUUUUAGAAAAAUGAUUCCACAUUGAAAAAUGAUUUUCCUACAAAUAAACUGAGGUAUUUCCUCCUGAGUUUUCA